rnacentral:rRNA from 1 species
AAUACGGAGGGUGCAAGCGUUAAUCGGAAUUACUGGGCGUAAAGCGCACGCAGGCGGUCUGUUAAGUCAGAUGUGAAAUCCCCGGGCUCAACCUGGGAACUGCAUUUGAAACUGGCAGGCUUGAGUCUUGUAGAGGGGGGUAGAAUUCCAGGUGUAGCGGUGAAAUGCGUAGAGAUCUGGAGGAAUACCGGUGGCGAAGGCGGCCCCCUGGACAAAGACUGACGCUCAGGUGCGAAAGCGUGGGGAGCAAACAGGAUUAGAUACCCUGGUAGUCCACGCCGUAAACGAUGUCGACUUGGAGGUUGUGCCCUUGAGGAGUGGCUUCCGGAGCUAACGCGUUAAGUCGACCGCCUGGGGAGUACGGCCGCAAGGUUAAAACUCAAAUGAAUUGACGGGGGCCCGCACAAGCGGUGGAGCAUGUGGUUUAAUUCGAUGCAACGCGAAGAACCUUACCU